GACGUAGGAGGCGAGCGUUGUCCGGAUUCAUUGGGCGUAAAGAGCACGCAGGCGGUUUGGCAAGUCGGAUGUGAAAACCCGGAGCUCAACUCCGGGCGUGCAUCCGAUACUGCCCGACUAGAGGUAGGUAGGGGGAGAUCGGAAUUCCUGGUGUAGCGGUGAAAUGCGCAGAUAUCAGGAGGAACACCGGUGGCGAAGGCGGAUCUCUGGGCCUUACCUGACGCUCAGGUGCGAAAGCUAGGGGAGCGAACAGG
rnacentral:rRNA from 1 species